AUCCAAGCGUUGAAGCAUUUUCCCCUCUGGCUGCUGUGGGCUGAGUGCUGGGAAACCUCAUGCAGCUUUUACCUUUCUCUCUCAGGAGGAAAAUUUAAAACAUCUCAAAAACAGCUAUUUCCAAGUAACACUAUUCCAAGUAACAGCUAUUUCCCAGCACACACUCCUUAUAUUUCCUCUGGUUUCAAAUAUGAAAGAGAUCUCAGCUCAGACAAGAAGGAUCUUUGCCAUACAGCCACCAGCUCAUGCGUCCUCCUCUUUAUUCUGAGAGGCUCCAGUUUACAUGAAAAUUACAAGGUAAAGUAUUUCUCCAAGUUUCUAAUAUAACUAAUCACUCCUUUUCUUCAAAAAUAGAGGUCUAUGAUUCCUUUUUGAACAUGCUUUCAAAGUGGAGGUCUUUGGUCAUGAGCUCCUCUUCAACAUUAUCUAGUGCCUGCUGGUGAUGUGCCAGUUCUAUAGGUUCCUACUCUGUCUUGAAAGCUUUGUUAUUGUCUGUGGGCAUGUUCUUGGUGGCUCUAGUUUUCUGCUGCUGAGUCAUAUGUGAUUGGCCAGCAGCAGCAUCUUGGCCCAAAAUCAGAGUAAAUGCUCUGAAGCCCAAAUACAUUGGUGAAAUACCAGGAUGCAGAACUAAUCCAGAAUGCAUCUAAUGAAAAUAGCUUGAUUCAUUGCUGUAGUCUAGAUUUAAAAUGAUGGGUCAGUGAAAAAGAGAUCUUGCCUUGUGAUAGAGCCUGAAAAUAUAAUGCUGAUCCAUUAACCAAUAAGAAUCAUAGGGAGGGCAUUUGGUUCAUUGUGUCUAUGAGGAUACCGGGAUGAGUCCUUCAUUUUACUUUUUUUUAAAAUAAUCCAUUCUCAUGUUGUUGAAGUAAUAUUUUCUGUAUUGUUAAUUGUAAAAAAUAUUGUGCCUAUUAUUUGAUUGUAAUGUUCUCUGAAAGCAUGUUGAGGUUCUAACUCCAGGUAUCUAUGAAUGGGGCUUUAUUCAGAAAUAGGGUCUUUGCAAACACAAUCAAAUUAAGAUUAGGUCGUUAGAGUGGCUCCUAAUCUAUAUAAUUUAUGGCAUUAUAAGAAGGUGAAAAUGCCACUGAAGGCAAGGACACUAAGGGAGAACAUGUGAUUGACAGAGGCAGAGACUAAUGUUGCUGCAAGCAGUGAACACCAAGGACUGAUGGUCACCACCAGAGGCCAGGAAGAACAAGGAGGAUUCUUCCUAGUGUCUUAAGGUACAAGGCUCUACUGACACCUUGAUUUCAGACUUUCAGAAUCCAAAACUAUGAGAAACUCAAUUUCUGUUAUGUAAAGCUACUAGUUUGUGUAUUUUAUUAUAACAGUC
rnacentral:lncRNA from 1 species